GAUGAACGUGGCGGCGUGCCUAAUACAUGCAAGUCGAACGAAGAGCUUAAAGUAGCAAUACUUUGAUAACUCUUAGUGGCGAACGGGUGAGUAACGCGUUGGUGACCUACCCCAAAGAUAGGGAUAACAGUUCGAAAGGACUGCUAAUACCUAAUGUUAUCAUUUGGCUUAGAUGCCUUUUGAUUAAAGGAGCUUGCUCCACUUUGGGAGGGGCCUGCGUCCCAUCAGCUAGUUGGUAGGGUAAUGGCCUACCAAGGCUAUGACGGGUAGGGGACCUGAGAGGGUGGCCCCCCACAAUGGAACUGAAACACGGUCCAUACACCUACGGGUGGCAGCAGUAGGGAAUAUUGGUAAUCUGCGAAAGCGGGAACCAGCAACGCCGCGUGCGCGAAGAAGGCCUUCGGGUUGUAAAGCGCUUUUCGGGAGGAAGAGGAAGGACUGUACUCCCGGAAUAAGUCUCGGCUAACUACGUGCCAGCAGCCGCGGUAAUACGUAGGAGGCUAACGUUAUCCGGAUUUACUGGGCGUAAAGCGCGUGCAGGCGGUUCGUUAAGUUGGACGUGAAAGCUCCCGGCUCAACUGGGAGAGGUCGUUCAAUACUGGCGGACUUGAGGAUGGUAGAGGGAGGUGGAAUUCCGGGUGUAGUGGUGAAAUGCGCAGAUAUCCGGAGGAACACCAGUGGCGAAAGCGGCCUCCUGGACCAUUCCUGACGCUCAGACGCGAAAGCUAGGGUAGCAAACG
rnacentral:rRNA from 1 species